AUUGAACGCUGGCGGCAGGCCUAACACAUGCAAGUCGAGCGGAUGAAGGGAGCUUGCUCCUGGAUUCAGCUGCGGACGGGUGAGUAAUGCCUAGGAAUCUGCCUGGUAGUGGGGGAUAACGUCCGGAAACGGGCGCUAAUACCGCAUACGUCCUGAGGGAGAAAGUGGGGGAUCUUCGGACCUCACGCUAUCAGAUGAGCCUAGGUCGGAUUAGCUAGUUGGUGGGGUAAAGGCCUACCGAGGCGACGAUCCGUAACUGGUCUGAGAGGAUGAUCAGUCACACUGGAACUGAGACACGGUCCAGACUCCUACGGGAGGCAGCAGUGGGGAAUAUUGGACAAUGGGCGAAAGCCUGAUCCAGCCAUGCCGCGUGUGUGAAGAAGGUCUUCGGAUUGUAAAGCACUUUAAGUUGGGAGGAAGGGCAGUAAGUUAAUACCUUGCUGUUUUGACGUUACCAACAGAAUAAGCACCGGCUAACUUCGUG
rnacentral:rRNA from 1 species